rnacentral:rRNA from 1 species
UACGUAGGGGGCAAGCGUUGUCCGGAAUCAUUGGGCGUAAAGAGCGUGUAGGCGGCCCGAUAAGUCCGCUGUGAAAGUCCAGGGCUCAACCCUGGAAUGCCGGUGGAUACUGUCGGGCUCGAAUCCGGAAGAGGUGAGUGGAAUUCCGUGGUGUAGCGGUGAAAUGCGCAGAUAUCAGGAGGAACACCAAUGGCGAAGGCAGCUCACUGGGACGGUAUUGACGCUGAGACGCGAAAAGCGUGGGGAGCAAAACAGG